rnacentral:rRNA from 1 species
UACGUAGGGGGCAAGCGUUGUCCGGAUUUAUUGGGCGUAAAGAGCGUGUAGGCGGCCAGACAGGUCAGCUGUGAAAACUCGAGGCUCAACCUCGAGAUGUCGGUUGAAACCGUCUGGCUAGAGUCCGGAAGAGGAGAGUGGAAUUCCUGGUGUAGCGGUGAAAUGCGCAGAUAUCAGGAAGAACACCCGUGGCGAAGGCGGCUCUCUGGGACGGUACUGACGCUGAGACGCGAAAGCGUGGGGAGCGAACAGG